GAGAGCACAGUACAAUGAAAGUUGUAAGCUGUGUUCGGGGGGUUGGCGCAUGCUGAAUGGAUCCACGUGCCCUGAC
rnacentral:ncRNA from 1 species